rnacentral:rRNA from 1 species
CCCUUAGAUGUUCUGGGCCGCACGCGCGCUACACUGUUCGACGCAGCGAGUCUUAACCUUGACCGAAAGGUUUGGGUAAUCUUCAGCAACGUCGAACGUGAUGGGGAUCGAUCAUUGCAAUUAUUGAUCGUGAACGAGGAAUUCCUAGUAAGUGCAAGUCAUCAGCUUGCGCUGAUUACGUCCCUGCCCUUUGUACACACCGCCCGUCGCUACUACCGAUUGAAUGGUUUAGUGAGAUCUCUGGAUUGACGCUGGCUAGGGGGCGACCCUUGGCCAGACUGUUGAGAAACUGCUCAAACUUGAUCAUUUAGAGGAAGUAAAAGUCGUAACA